UACGAAGGGGGCUAGCGUUGUUCGGAAUUACUGGGCGUAAAGCGCACGUAGGCGGACAUUUAAGUCAGGGGUGAAAUCCCAGAGCUCAACUCUGGAACUGCCUUUGAUACUGGGUGUCUUGAGUAUGGAAGAGGUGAGUGGAAUUCCGAGUGUAGAGGUGAAAUUCGUAGAUAUUCGCAAGAACACCAGUGGCGAAGGCGGCUCACUGGCCCGAUACCUGACGCUGAGGUGCGAAAGCGUGGGGAGCAAACAGGAUUAGAAACCC
rnacentral:rRNA from 1 species